rnacentral:rRNA from 1 species
GCAAAGGUAGCAUAAUCACUUGUUCUUUAAUUAAGGACUUGAAUGAAUGGCUACACGAGGGUUCAACUGUCUCUUACUUUUAAUCAGUGAAAUUGACCUUCCCGUGAAGAGGCGGGAAUAAAUCAAUAAGACGAGAAGACCCUAUGGAGCUUAAAUAAUAUAAUCCAAAUAAAUAUAAUCAAAUCUAACAAAGACAUAAAAUAAUAAUUAUCUGUGGAUUAUAAAUUUCGGUUGGGGUGACCUCGGAGCAUAACAUAACCUCCGAACAAUUUUAACUUAGACCUAACCAGUCAAAGUAUAUAAUAAUACAUUAAUUGACCCAAACUAAUUUGAUCAAUGGAACAAGUUACCCUAGGGAUAACAGCGCAAUCCUAUUAUAGAGUCCAUAUCGACAAUAGGGUUUACGACCUCGAUGUUGGAUCAAGACACCCUAAUGGUGCAGCCGCUAUUAACGGUCCGUUUGUUCAACGGUUAAAGUCUUACGUGAUCU